rnacentral:rRNA from 1 species
UACGUAGGGUGCAAGCGUUGUCCGGAAUUAUUGGGCGUAAAGAGCUCGUAGGCGGUCUGUCACGUCGGCUGUGAAAACCCGAGGCUCAACCUCGGGCCUGCAGUCGAUACGGGCAAACUAGAGUACUGCAGGGGAGACUGGAAUUCCUGGUGUAGCGGUGAAAUGCGCAGAGUAUCAGGAGGAACACCGGUGGCGAAGGCGGGUCUCUGGGCAGUAACUGACGCUGAGGAGCGAAAGCGUGGGGAGCGAACAGG